rnacentral:snRNA from 1 species
AUGCUGGACUCAGCAGCACAUAUACAAAAAUUGAAACAAUACUGUAAAGAUUAUUAUAGCCGUUGAGCAAGGAUGGUGCUCAAAGCUAUAAAGUAUUCCAUAAAAGA